GCUUGUCUCAAAGAUUAAGCCAUGCAUGUCUUAGUGUAAAUAACUCUUAUGAAACUGCGAAUGGCUCAUUAAAUCAGUUAUCAAAUACGUGAUGGUCGCCUACUACAUGGAUAACCGUAGUAAUUCUAGAGCUAAUACAUGCACAAAGGCCCACUCACGUGGGUUGUGAUUAUUAGAUUCAAACCGGCCUCGUUCUGGUGAUUCAUAAUAAUUGGUCGAACCGCAUGCCCUUGUGGUGGCGGUGAUUCAUCCUUAUUUCUGCCCUAUCAGCUUCCGACGGUAGGAUAUGGGCCUACCGUGGCAAUGACGGGUAACGGAGAAUUAGGGUUCGAUUCCGGAGAGGGAGCCUGAGAAACGGCUACCACAUCUAAGGAAGGCAGCAGG
rnacentral:rRNA from 1 species